UACAAGCAUGUCAGAACAUGAAAAAAUCAUUCCAUGUCUUCAAAUCCCCCAAAGUAAAAAACAAAUUCUUCGCAAACUCCUAUUUUUGUCAUUAUAGGGUUUUUGAAAAAAAAAAAGAAAGAGAAGUGAGAAAACACAAAUGUGGAGAAAAGAGAAGAAAAAAGGAAGGGUGUUUUACCUGCUCCUUGAAGAAUUUCAGUGAAGUGAGAGUGAGAGCACCGUC
rnacentral:lncRNA from 1 species